rnacentral:tRNA from 1 species
GCGCAAGUAACUCAGUUGGUAGAGUGCGAAGGUUUCUCCCUCUUCGAUGUCGUGGGUUCGAGUCCCACCUUGCGCCCCA